rnacentral:tRNA from 1 species
GCUGGGUUCUUCUAACGGUUAGGAAUCAAGAUUCUCAAUCUUGCAAUACGAGUUCGAUUCUCGUACCCAGUACCA